CACCGCGGUUAUACGAGAGACCCCAGUUGUUAAAUGCCGGCGUAAAGAGUGGUUAAGGAGAAAUUACGACUAAAGCCGAACGCCCUCAGAGCUGUUAUACGCAUCCGAGAGUAAGAAGUCCAAUCACGAAAGUGGCUUUACAACAUAACCUGACCCCACGAAAGCUAUGACA
rnacentral:rRNA from 1 species